AUGUGUAGGAUAGGUGGGAGGCUUUGAAGCGUGGACGCCAGUCUGCGUGGAGCCAACCUUGAAAUACCACCCUUUAAUGUUUGAUGUUCUAACGUAGGCCCCUAAUCGGGGUUGCGGACAGUGUCUGGUGGGUAGUUUGACUGGGGCGGUCUCCUCCCAAAGAGUAACGGAGGAGCACGAAGGUUAGCUAAUCCUGGUCGGACAUCA
rnacentral:rRNA from 1 species